GACGUAGGGCGCAAGCGUUGUCCGGAUUUAUUGGGCGUAAAGGGCUCGUAGGCGGCCUGUCACGUCGAUCGUGAAAACCAGGGGCUCAACCCUUGGCUUGCGGUCGAUACGGGCAGGCUUGAGGUAGGUAGGGGAGAACGGAAUUCCACGUGUAGCGGUGAAAUGCGCAGAUAUGUGGAGGAACACCGGUGGCGAAGGCGGUUCUCUGGGCCUAUCCUGACGCUGAUGAGCGAAAGCGUGGGGAGCGAACAGG
rnacentral:rRNA from 1 species